UGUGUAUGUAGAGACCCUUGUUUGUCGCAUCACACCAGCCCCUCACAAUGCCGUCUGACAUCUUUCUGUGACAAGUGACCAUAUAAUGAAGCUCAGGGUGAGACACCCCAAAGACACCUCAAAGCCUGACAUGAAAAAUCAACUAGAGCAAGACGUAAGCAGUAAAAGCCACCUCCCCCUAUAAGAACAA
rnacentral:lncRNA from 1 species